rnacentral:lncRNA from 1 species
GAUGGGGUCCGGGACUUGACGAUGGCGCCUGCUCGUUCCUGUUGUGUUCUAUCUGAGGCAUGAUUUUCUUUCGUUUUUGGGAGGUAGAGAGCACGGGGCAGAGGUUGCACCUGACACAUUAGAACUCCGUUGUCACUGCUGUGGCUGUUAUUCCCCUCGGCAAGAGCCAAGGAGCAAACAGGACGGCAAAGAUGGGCUGUCUGGAAAGCUGGACUCAGCCUGGAGCAUGUUCCCCAGAUUGCUAUUUUGUGAAGGCUUCCGCAUACAAAUGACUCAGAUCCAAACAUUCAAAAAUGAUCUUGGAGGGCCAUCUGGUUCUUGCUGGUUCUAAAAGCUUCCUUCAGCCUGGAGUAUGGAUCCAGUACAAAAGAUAGUGAGAGCUGUUCAUUGAGGUUUAACAUGUUCCACUGACCGAGGCUAGAAGCUGGCUUUAAAAAAUAGCCAACACUGAUGCUCCAAGGGCCAAUUGCUGAUGCUUGUCACAGUGAAGAUCCCGGUGUUACACAUCCAAUCGUUCACCUCCUUCCAAGACUAUGACAUUCCAGGAAACCUUCACUGCUAAGAGGAACUAAGAUCUAGAGUAUCUCCUCGAGGAAGUACAACUGCAUUAUAAAUUAAGGAGGAAUAGUAACAAA